rnacentral:rRNA from 1 species
UACGAGGGGUGCAAGCGUUGCUCGGAAUUAUUGGGCGUAAAGGGUAGGUAGGUGGUCUCAUUUGUCUGGGGUGAAAGCCUUGAGCUUAACUCAAGAAGUGCCCCAGAAACGGUGAGACUGGAGUCCUGGAGAGGGUCGUGGAAUUCCCGGUGUAGUGGUGAAUACGUAGAGAUCGGGAGGAACACCUGUAGGCGAAGGCGG